CUGACACUAAAUGUAUAUUUUUUUAUGCUUAGCUACUGUUGUGAGUAUCCAAAUAUGGAAGAUAUAUGUCCUGUCUAGAAGUUGACAAUCAGUUUUUAAAUGUGGGAUCUACUCUGAAUAAAGAAAUGCAAACAUGCUCUUUGAUGUGUUGUUCUGAGUGACUUGGGAGGAUAAAGAUGGAAUACUCCAUGGAUAUGCAUAAAAAGAAUCCACAAAUUUAUCAUCAGUGUGAUACAUCUGUUGCUUCAGCCAGUGGCUAUGCCAGACUCAAGAGAAAACAUGCUGCUCCUUAGAUGAUGAUAACUGCGGG